rnacentral:rRNA from 1 species
CCUACGGGAGGCAGCAGUGGGGAAUAUUGCACAAUGGGCGCAAGCCUGAUGCAGCCAUGCCGCGUGUGUGAAGAAGGCCUUCGGGUUGUAAAGCACUUUCAGCGGGGAGGAAGGCGGUGAGGUUAAUAACCUCAUCGAUUGACGUUACCCGCAGAAGAAGCACCGGCUAACUCCGUGCCAGCAGCCGCGGUAAUACGGAGGGUGCAAGCGUUAAUCGGAAUUACUGGGCGUAAAGCGCACGCAGGCGGUCUGUCAAGUCGGAUGUGAAAUCCCCGGGCUCAACCUGGGAACUACAUUCGAAACUGGCAGGCUAGAGUCUUGUAGAGGGGGGUAGAAUUCCAGGUGUAGCGGUGAAAUGCGUAGAGAUCUGGAGGAAUACCGGUGGCGAAGGCGGCCCCCUGGACAAAGGCUGACGCUCAGGUGCGAAAGCGUGGGGAGCAAACAGGAUUAGAUACCCGGGUAGUC